CGGCGGACGGGUGAGUAAUGCCUAGGAAUCUGCCUGGUAGUGGGGACAACGUUUCGAAAGGAACGCUAAUACCGCAUACGUCCUACGGGAGAAAGCAGGGGACCUUCGGGCCUUGCGCUAUCAGAUGAGCCUAGGUCGGAUUAGCUAGUUGGUGAGGUAAUGGCUCACCAAGGCGACGAUCCGUAACUGGUCUGAGAGGAUGAUCAGUCACACUGGAACUGAGACACGGUCCAGACUCCUACGGGAGGCAGCAGGC
rnacentral:rRNA from 1 species